CACGUAGGGGGCAAGCGUUGUCCGGAUUUAUUGGGCGUAAAGAGCUCGUAGGCGGUUUCGUAAGUCGGAUGUGAAAACUCCAGGCUCAACUUGGAGACGCCAUUCGAUACUGCGAUGACUUGAGUCCGGAAGAGGCGAGUGGAAUUCCUGGUGUAGCGGUGAAAUGCGCAGAUAUCAGGAGGAACACCAAUGGCGAAGGCAGCUCGCUGGGACGGUACUGACGCUGAGACGCGAAAGCGUGGGGAGCAAACAGG
rnacentral:rRNA from 1 species